rnacentral:rRNA from 1 species
CGGACCCUAUCGCUAUCAAGGUGAGGCUAAGCCAUGCAAGUCUACGUCCCGAAGAUGGGACGUGGCACACGGCUCAGUAAUACAUGGUCAACUUACUCCUAAGACGGGGACAACCCCGGGAAACUGGGAACAAUACCCGAUAGGUGAGAGCGCCUGGAAUGGUCUCUCACCCAAAGGGCGCUAGAGAAAUGCCUCUAGCGUCGCUUAAGAAUAGGACCAUGCCCGAUCAGGCUGUUGGUGGAGUAACGGUUCACCAAACCUGUAACCGGUACGGGCUCUGAGAGGAGAAGCCCGGAGAUGGGAACUGAGACAAGUUCCCAGGCCCUACGGGGCGCAGCAGGCGCGAAAACUCCGCAAUGCGCGAAAGCGCGACGGGGUUACCCUGAGUGCUACCUGCUGAAGGUAGCUUUUUCCUAGUGUAAACAGCUAGGAGAAUAAGGGGAGGGCAAGUCUGGUGUCAGCCGCCGCGGUAAUACCAGCUCCCCGAGUGAUAGGGACGGUUAUUUAGCCUAAAGCGUCCGUAGCCGGCUUGGUGAGUUCCCAGUUAAAUCUGGCGAAUCAAUCGUCAGGCUGCUGGGAAUACCGCCGAGCUAGGGGGUGGGAGAGGCUAACGGUAUUCCCGGGGUAGGGGUGAAAUCCUAUAAUCCCGGGAGGACCACCAGUGGCGAAGGCUGUCGGCUAGAACGCGCCCGACGGUGAGGGAUGAAAGCUGGGGGAGCGAACCGGAUUAGAUACCCGGGUAGUCCCAGCUGUAAACGAUGCAGGCUAGGUGUUCGGGCGGCCACGUGCCGCUCGAGUGCCGCAGGGAAACCGUUAAGCCUGCCGCCUGGGGAGUACGGCCGCAAGGCUGAAACUUAAAGGAAUUGGCGGGGGAGCACCACAAGGGGUGAAGCUUGC